rnacentral:rRNA from 1 species
GACGUAGGGGGCCAGCGUUGCUCGGAAUUACUGGGUGUAAAGGGUUCGUAGGCGGUGUGGCAAGUCGGGAGUGAAAUCUUUGGGCUCAACCCAAAGGCUGCUUCCGAAACUGCCGUGCUUGAGUGUGGGAGAGGCGCGUGGAAUUGCAGGUGUAGCGGUGAAAUGCGUAGAUAUCUGCAGGAACACCCGUGGCGAAAGCGGCGCGCUGGACCACUACUGACGCUGAGGAACGAAAGCUAGGGGAGCAAACAGG